UACAGAGGUCUCAAGCGUUGUUCGGAUUCAUUGGGCGUAAAGGGUGCGUAGGCGGCGCGGUAAGUCGGGUGUGAAAUCUCGGGGCUUAACUCCGAAACUGCAUUCGAUACUGCCGUGCUUGAGGACUGGAGAGGAGACUGGAAUUUACGGUGUAGCGGUGAAAUGCGUAGAUAUCGUAAGGAAGACCAGUGGCGAAGGCGGGUCUCUGGACAGUUACUGACACUGAGGCGCGACAGCGUGGGGAGCAAACAGG
rnacentral:rRNA from 1 species